rnacentral:rRNA from 1 species
UAGGGAAUAUUAGAAAUGGACGAAAGUCUGAUCUAGCAACACCGCGUGUGCGAAGAAGGCCUUCGGGUCGUAAAGCACUUUUUGGAAGGAAUAGGAAGGAAUGUACUUCCAGAAUAAGUCUCGGCUAACUACGUGCCAGCAGCCGCGGUAACACGUAGGAGGCGAACGUUAUCCGGAUUUACUGGGCGUAAAGCGCGUGCAGGUGGUACUGUAAGUAGGGCGUGAAAGCUCCUGGCUCAACUGGGAGAGGCCGUUCUAAACUACAGAACUAGAGGAUGGUAGAGGGAGGUGGAAUUCCAGGUGUAGCGGUGGAAUGCGCAGAUAUCAGGAGGAACACCGGUGGCGAAGGCGGCCUCCUGGACCAUUCCUGACACUCAGACGCGAAAGCUAGGGUAGCAAACGG